rnacentral:misc_RNA from 1 species
GAUGAAGAACGCAGCGAAAUGCGAUAAGUAGUGUGAAUUGCAGAAUUCAGAGAAUCAUCGAAUCUUUGAACGCACAUUGCGCCCCUUGGUAUCCCGAGGGGCAUGCCUGUUCGAGCGUCAUUUCACCACUCAAGCCUGGCUUGGUGUUGGGCGACGUCCUCUUUGGGGACGCGCCUCGAAACGCUCGGCGGCGUGGCACCGGCUUUAAGCGUAGCAGAAUCUUUCGCUUUGGAAGUCGGGGCCCCGUCUGCCGGAAGACCUGCUCGCAAGGUUGACCUCGGAUCAGGCAGGGAUACCCGCUGAACUUAAGCAUAUCAAUAAGCGGAGGA